rnacentral:misc_RNA from 1 species
GAAAUGCGAUAAGUAAUGUGAAUUGCAGAAUUCAGUGAAUCAUCGAACCUUUGAACGCACAUUGCGCUCGCCAGUAUUCUGGCGAGCAUGCCUGUUCGAGCGUCAUUUCAACCAUCAAGCUCUGCUUGCGUUGGGGAUCCGCGGCUGCCCGCGGUCCCUCAAAAACAGUGGCGGGCUCGCUAGUCACACCGAGCGUAGUAACUCUACAUCGCUAUGGUCGUGCGGCGGGUUCUUGCCGUAAAACCCCCAAUUUCUAAGGUUGACCUCGGAUCAGGUAGGAAUACCUGCUGAACUUAAGC